GUGCCAGCCGCCGCGGUAAUACGUAGGUGGCGAGCGUUGUCCGGAUUUACUGGGUGUAAAGGGCGCGUAGGCGGGGCGGCAAGUCCGAUGUGAAAUCCCGCGGCUCAACCGUGGAACCGCAUCGGAAACUGUCGUCCUUGAGUAUCGGAGGGGAAAGCGGAAUUCCUAGUGUAGCGGUGAAAUGCGUAGAUAUUAGGAGGAACACCGGUGGCGAAGGCGGCUUUCUGGCCGAAAACUGACGCUGAGGCGCGAAAGCGUGGGGAGCAAACAGGAUUAGAUACCCUGGUAGUCCACGCCGUAAACGAUGGAUACUAGGUGUGGGAGGUAUCGACCCCUUCCGUGCCGUCGUAAACACAUUAAGUAUCCCACCUGGGGAGUACGGCCGCAAGGCUGAAACUCAAAUAAAUUGACGG
rnacentral:rRNA from 1 species